CCGAGUUUACAACUCCCAAACCCCUGUGAACAUACCUAUCGUUGCUUCGGCGGGUUCGCCCCAGCUUGACACAAGCUGGACCCAGGCGCCCGCCGGAGGACCCAAACUCUUGUUUUUUUGAGUAUCUUCUGAGUAAACAAGCAAAUAAAUUA
rnacentral:misc_RNA from 1 species